rnacentral:rRNA from 1 species
AGUUUGAUCCUGGCUCAGGAUGAACGCUAGCUACAGGCUUAACACAUGCAAGUCGAGGGGCAGCAUGGUCUUAGCUUGCUAAGGCCGAUGGCGACCGGCGCACGGGUGAGUAACACGUAUCCAACCUGCCGUCUACUCUUGGACAGCCUUCUGAAAGGAAGAUUAAUACAAGAUGGCAUCAUGAGUCCGCAUGUUCACAUGAUUAAAGGUAUUCUGGUAGACGAUGGGGAUGCGUUCCAUUAGAUAGUAGGCGGGGUAACGGCCCACCUAGUCUUCGAUGGAUAGGGGUUCUGAGAGGAAGGUCCCCCACAUUGGAACUGAGACACGGUCCAAACUCCUACGGGAGGCAGCAGUGAGGAAUAUUGGUCAAUGGGCGCAGGCCUGAACCAGCCAAGUAGCGUGAAGGAUGACUGCCCUAUGGGUUGUAAACUUCUUUUAUAAAGGAAUAAAGUCGGGUAUGUAUACCCGUUUGCAUGUACUUUAUGAAUAAGGAUCGGCUAACUCCGUGCCAGCAGCCGCGGUAAUACGGAGGAUCCGAGCGUUAUCCGGAUUUAUUGGGUUUAAAGGGAGCGUAGAUGGAUGUUUAAGUCAGUUGUGAAAGUUUGCGGCUCAACCGUAAAAUUGCAGUUGAUACUGGAUAUCUUGAGUGCAGUUGAGGCAGGCGGAAUUCGUGGUGUAGCGGUGAAAUGCUUAGAUAUCACGAAGAACUCCGAUUGCGAAGGCAGCCUGCUAAGCUGCAACUGACAUUGAGGCUCGAAAGUGUGGGUAUCAAACAGGAUUAGAUACCCUGGUAGUCCACACGGUAAACGAUGAAUACUCGCUGUUUGCGAUAUACGGCAAGCGGCCAAGCGAAAGCGUUAAGUAUUCCACCUGGGGAGUACGCCGGCAACGGUGAAACUCAAAGGAAUUGACGGGGGCCCGCACAAGCGGAGGAACAUGUGGUUUAAUUCGAUGAUACGCGAGGAACCUUACCCGGGCUUAAAUUGCAGAUGAAUUACGGUGAAAGCCGUAAGCCGCAAGGCAUCUGUGAAGGUGCUGCAUGGUUGUCGUCAGCUCGUGCCGUGAGGUGUCGGCUUAAGUGCCAUAACGAGCGCAACCCUUGUUGUCAGUUACUAACAGGUUCCGCUGAGGACUCUGACAAGACUGCCAUCGUA